UGGAAAACCUUUCCUUCUUUGUCUGACAACUUGUAUAGGGACAUACAUUAUUGUAAGCCAUAUUGUCAGUUACAAUGUAAAUUCUCAACACUUUCUAAAAUGCUAUGAGGCUACUAGGGAAUGUGCAAGGCACGUGACUAAAUGUGUUGCUCCUCCAUCUCUUGUGCCUGGCUCGUGCGCCCGGGCAAUUGCGCGCUUUGUCAGAAUUGAUUGUCUCCAGUUCGUGUAUGCACUUACAUUUACAUUUACAUUUUAGUCAUUUAGCAGACUCUUAUCCAGAGCGACUUACAGCUAGUGAGUGCAUACAUAAUUUAUUUUAUUUUUCAUACUGGCCCCCCGUGGGACUUCAGGGCAGUGCAUGCCCAAAUAGCCGAUGCCCAUUGCUAGCUAGCUAGGUUUGAUGAUGGCCAAAUCUAAGGGGAAGCGACUGACAAUGUUAGACAUCCUUGAGGAGCUAGAAAGAAGUGAUCUUGGACUUGAUGACUCCUGGGAUCGAAGCGCAUCGACCCUGUGGCUGAAGCGGCAUUCGACGAUAGGAUGGGAGGAUGGGAUGGACCCGCUUCUGGACAUAGAGGAUGUCAGACCUCCAGCUGCAACUCCAGCAAUGGAUGCCAGCAGAGAAUACUGUGCCAUUACCCCAUGCAGCAGCAAGACGAAGAGUGGUAGGGGUGAAACCAAAGCCCCCCCAUGAGGCUCCCCCUCAGGACAUGUGGCGGAGUGUUACGGAGGCUGACACAGCACCUGUUCUCUUUCCCUUCUGCCCAUCAAUGACCCCAGGAGUGCAGUUGGACACCUCCUAGACAUACACCCCAUUGGAACUGUCCCAGCUGUUCUUUAGUCACAGAAUUGUCCAAACCCUCUGCACCAACACCAACUCAAUUGGUGAACGAAGACUGCCACAAGGUGUUCAAUGGAGACUCAGUCCAGCAGAGAGUCAGGAACCAUGACGGGAGAUGGACCACUCGCUGUAUCCCCAUCCCAGCACCAGUGAGGGCAUACAACAGCUUCUUGGGGACGACAAGGAGGAAGAGGAGGCUACAGCUUCAGGGGCAGUAGUGGGGGCUCGGAGAGGGUCAUUGGCUGCCGUGGCUGAAGAAGAGGGGUGGACUGCAACCCCAUUACAAUUGUGGACACCUCACUCACCUGUCUACCUUAAGGUCACCAAGGGCAGGCUGUGCUGUCACUUGUGUGCGGAGAAAAAGCUGGAAAACAAGACCCCUUGGAAAUGUGAGUCUUGCAAUGUGCCACUCUGUCUUACAGUAGACAGGAACUGUUACCGGGCAUGGCACAAGAGGAGAAGAGAAGGGACAGAAGUGUGAACACUCGAAACACAGACACAAACACACCUCCAUCUUCCUUUCCCCCACACACUAAUAAUCAGUUCUGUUCUCAUUAUCAGUUUUGUUGUAAAUACUACUUCAUGGUUAACUUUAUUAAUGUUAAAAUAUCAAUUUCUAACUUGUAGCACAUUAAGUUUUGGGAGUGAUUAAUUUGUUCAACGCUCACAUCAGUUUCUAACUUUUUUCCUAUUGUGUUGGGUAGAUAUUCAAUAAAAGGCUUAACAUUGAAUGGCAUUUUUGCUUUUGCUUUGUAUUUUUCUAUUGAUUAUGUAAGGCUUAUGUGUGCCUUCUAAGGUAUAACUGAUUUAUUAGACCAUAUUAUCAAAGGUACAGGGGUCCUCUUCAAAUAUAAUAUUCAACCAUGUUUGUGCACUUUAUACUUUUGAAGAUAUUCACAUUUGUAUGAGAUGAGUAAGAACUAGGC